rnacentral:rRNA from 1 species
CGAAGGAUCCAAGCGUUAUCCGGAUUCAUUGGGUUUAAAGGGUGCGUAGGCGGGUUUAUAAGUCUGUGGUGAAAGCCGAUCGCUUAACGAUCGAACUGCCAUUGAUACUGUAGACCUAGAGUACAGAUGAUGUUGGCGGAAUAUGACAUGUAGCGGUGAAAUGCAUAGAUAUGUCAUAGAACACCGAUUGCGAAGGCAGCUGACAAAACUGUAACUGACGCUGAUGCACGAAAGUGCGGGGAUCAAACAGGAUUAGAUACCCUGGUAGUCCGCACAGUAAACGAUGAUAACUAGUUGUUUGCGAUAUACAGUAAGCGACCAAGCGAAAGCGAUAAGUUAUCCACCUGGGGAGUACGCUCGCAAGAGUG